rnacentral:lncRNA from 1 species
UUUAAAAAAACAUGCUGACUUUUAUUAAAGGUCUAAUGCUAUUCAAAGAGCAUAUGUGCAUGAGUUAAAACACACAAAGGAAAUAAGUGUGAAGUGUCAAAAAAUACAAAAUCAAUCCGAGACAUGAAACAAAAACUUCCAUUCUGUGACUCAAAAUCGAAAGGCACUUGGCUUCACAAAAAGUGAUCUUUUGACGUACGCGGAAGCCUUCAGUUCCCAGGGCCGGGGGACUCUCCCGCCAGUCUUCAUUCGAAGCUCCGCUGCCGGCUUGCUGACUACAGAAGGGACCAGAACAUCACCCCACGGCCCCAGCAGGCGACCACACGUAUGUGCACACGGUGCCACAUCUGUGGGCAGCAAAUGAGUCAGUUUUUCACUAGCCAUUCGACAAAGUCACCCACGGGUGUCACAGCGUCAACUUUCACUGGGGGGACCUCGUCUCCAGGCCCGGCUUUCCUCCAGUGACUCGUGUGUGAGUCAAGUCGUGCCCACAGUGCCAGGGCUGGCUUUGCAUGGUCCCGCUUCCCAGGCAGGAGGAGAAUCCAAGUGACCACGAGGAAGGCCACCCACUGGACAAGUGCCGCCAUCACUCAGGCACCCCGACCUGUCGGGAGUCUGCUUGCUUCCUGAGAGAGCCCUUGGAGACCCGUGGGCAGGUCUCAGUCUGGGCAGGGGUGGGUGAGAAAGGCCCCGGGAGACGAGCUUCGGGACGGUCACUUCUGCUAAUACAGUGGCAGCGAUCACCACCAUCACCCUGUUCCUGCCCACUGUCGGUGUGCAUGCCGCGCAUGCCAGGAUUAACACACGACGCAGAGAACUGCCACACAAGUCCACCAAACGACGGGGUGGGGAGGCUGCCCCUCUUCCUGGCUGUGUUCUCGGUGCCUCCAUCCACAGCUGCCUCCAUGAUCCGUGGGAUGUCCCCAACUCGCUGUCAGAGGGGCCGGUGCUCCAGACAUCUUCCUGAUGGGACGUGCCUUUCUUUGCCCGUCCUCCCACGGCCACGCUCCGGGCUGUGUAGUGCGUACGUAGGGCUGAUGGAAUGGACGGACGUCACAGGGAGGUUCUCGAGAGCUUGGCCCCAGCCCGUUCUGCAGGUCUCCUGGCUCACGGGUCAUCCUGGAGAAGCCCUCAAGGAGUUUCUUCCCAACUUCCCCCUCCCUAAAGAGAAGAGACCGCAUCGUGGCUCCCAGGCGGUUGCCAGGAACCGAGGCUCAGGGCCCAGAGGUCACGCCCGGGGCGGGGCGGGGCAGGGAUAACACAUUUUUAUUUUUAAAAAUAUAUACAUAUAUCACGAAAAUUGACUUUUCUUUUGCAGAAACAUUUACCACUAAUAUUCUAAACAACAGUCUGGAGAAAGCUGAUCUAAACACACUAUGAUACACAGAUGUUUGGACUGCAAGUAACAGAACAUUCAACCCAAAGGAGCUUAAACGACAGUGAGGGCUUUUUGCUUGUUUGACUGAAUAAGAGAAAGGCGUUUAUUGGCGCUGGGUCCAGGUCAGCAAUGGCAGGAAUCUGGACUGGUCUCUCUGCUCUGUUCCUGGUCUUCUCCUCUUGGUUGUCUGAUGGCUGCUGCAGCUCCAAGCAUCACAUCCUCAUCUGGCAAAGGCAGUGAGUGGAGGGCAGAGUGUCUUACCUCAACUCACCUCUUAAAUGGGAUGAACGGCAUUCCCAGAAGCGCCUUUCCCCACCCGGCUGCCCACAGUAGACCUCCCCUCACAUCUCCUGGACUGAAAACUGGGCCCGGCCCCUCCCCGCCGAGAUCAAGAGUGCUCCCUCUCCACUGGUGGCUGAAAGGCCCCGGUUCUGUUUGGAGGAACGAGGGGGAGAGGUGCUGGGGCAGAGCCCUCAGUGCCCCCCAUGGUGGGGAGCGGAGGCAGCGAGCUGCAGAAGGUGGGCCCCGAGGAACCCUGAGCAAGGCCCCCGUGAGCAGGCAGGAGGCGACUCCCCAAGUCCUUCUCCACCCACCUGUCCAUCACAGGAGCCGCAGGGUAUGGGGGUGUGGGGGGGACAGUGAGCCGGACCCCGAGCGGAGACGGGUUCUGUGCUCCAGCCUGAGGGUGCCAGAGACGAGGACCAGCUUCGUGAACGGGCGGUCUCGUAGCUCGCCACUGUCCGACUCUGUGCCCCAGACAGAACACGGACCACAGCCCACGCCAGGGGCAAGGGGGCAUGAAUGGGGGCAUGACUAUGGGGUGGGGGCGUGAAUGUGGGGUGGGGGCAUAAUUAGGACAGUGAGGGGCACGAAUGGGGGCAUGAAUGUGGAGUGGGGAAUGAAUGGAGGGCAGUGGGGGCAUGAAUGUGGGGUGGGAGCAUGAAUGGGGAUAUGAAUGUUGAGUGGGGCAGGAAUAGGGGACAGUGGGGGUAUGAAUGGGGACAGUAGGGGCAUGCAUGGGGGCAUGAAUGUGGAGGGGGGCAUGAAUGUGGGGGCAGUGGGGGCCUAAAUAGGCGGGCCUGAAUGGGGGACAUGGCCACUGCCCUCCCACUCUUGGAUUCCCUGUGUAGGGGUGCAACAGACCCCAUGCCCUUCAGGAGGGAGGCUCAGAGUGGGAUUAGGGGUGACAGCCUGGCACCCUCGCCUCAGUGGUCUUGGGACUAACGAGCAUCCUGCCGUGGCCCAGCUGGUCUCAGCUGGGGCAGAUCAUUAAACGUGGACACAAUGCAGCUCCGGAUUUGCGGAGCGGCCCUCCCGCUGUUUGGGGAUAAUUGUCCCAGCGGCCGGUCUCAGGCUGUGUCCAGAAGACGGCGUCUCAGACGGGCAGGCCGGCAGGUCUGGGAGCAUGGCCAGGGCCCUCCACGGGCCUGAGGAGGAGCCAGGCCGGAGGGGAGGGCCCUGGCUGGGCCACUUGCCGCCUGCCCCUGUGUGCAGCCCCCGUUCCAGCUGCCCAGGCUGCAGACAAGCGCCACCGAGGACUCUCCCAGCUGGGGGCUGGCGGGGCCCGGCCUGCAGACGGCUCCUGUCCUCUCCUGGGCUGGAGACAUCUGCACGGACCGGGGCAGCCACGCAGACGACACAUAAAAUGGGGAAGUCAUUGGUCUGCUCACAGCCCAGGCGCUAAGAGGCCUCACCUCUGGGAGGCCCAGCUCCUGGCUGCAGCUGGUCCUUGGCUGCUGGUCACCAGUAAGGGUGUGCCUGGCCUGGGCAGACAACAGAGGGGAAAGAGCCAGCCUCUGGGCAUGUCUCCUCUGCCAGGGUCUGUGUCUGUCACCUUCUGGUCCUGCUGUCUGUCUACACGGAGGAUUCCUUCUCCCCUAGCAGCAACCACACCCAGUUUGUAGUGCUCUGCUGGCGGCUGGAAGCUUUUAACAUAUUUGCAACUAGGGACUAAAUGCAAAAAUCCAAAGGCUGGAGGGACGGCUGGAGCCCACAGUCCCUGACCAAGGGGACAGGGCAGCCGGGCUGAGGGAGGCCCGGCUUAUGCAAGUUCAGCCAGAGACCCCUCCCGAAUCCUGAGGAGCCCUGGAGAGCAGCGUGUGGGUUCAGGAGGAGACUGGAGGGUACGGGGGCUGACCUUGGUCCCGGUCCCAGACCCAAGUAAAGGCUGCCAAGUCCAGUGGGGGCUGCAGAGCCUGGGGGCUGGGGACAGGCUGGGAGGGGGCGGGGAGGCCUCUGCCCCCACAAACCCCCUGCUUUUAUCUCUUCUGCUCAUCCCCUGGCUCCACUCCCAUCCCCCGAAGAGGGCAUCUGCACACUCCACCUCAAGCCCUGGGCACCAGCUCAGGCCCCUCCUGGCCCUGAAACCAUGCGUCCUUGGCCCCAAGCCCACCGGACCUGCUGGGCACUCUCUUGACUCUGCCACAUUCUGCAGGGGGACCCCCGCCCCCUCCUGACUGUCUCUUCCCUAAAGAAUACAGCAAUUUUUGUAAUCCUUAAUACAGGUUCCUGGUUUAAAAAAUUCAGGCUGGGGGCCGGCCUGGUGGCACAGUGGUUAAGUUUGCAUGUUCCGCUUCAGCGGUCCAGGGUUUGCUGGUUGGGAUCCCAGGUGCAGACAUGGCACCGCUUGGCACGCCAUGCUGUGGUAGGCAUCCCACAUAUAAAGUAGAGAAAGAAGGGUACGGAUGUUAGCUCAGGGCCAGUCUUCCUCAGCAAAAAGAGGAGGACUGGCAGCAGUUAGCUCAGGGCUAAUCUUCCUCAAAAAAAAAAAAUUCAGGCUGAACCAAGGGCAGACAUGGAAACAAGGUCUCCCCUGUCGCUAGUUCCCAGGGGCAGAGGCCACCACCGUGACCAGACAUGUGGAAGAGUGAGGGGGCUGUGGGCUCACUUAGAACAUCGAGGCAAUGGCUCUGGGUUGUGAGGUGCCGCGUGGUGCCUCAGGCUGCACAGCAUCCACCCUCACUCACUGGUGCCCUCAGAUGGGAGCAAAGCGGCCCUUUGUCAGCCAGAUGAGUUAGACACAGUUCUUCCCAGUUUGUCGCACAUCCUUUGGCUUAAAAGGUUACAUCUGUGCAAAAUGUCACAACUUGUAAUUUAAUUAAAUGCACCAGAAAUUUUUUUUCUGGCUUCUGCUUUUGUGUCAUGCGGAGGGAAGCCUUCCUCACCCUGAGCCUGUAAAGCUGCCUCCUGCGGUUUUCCGAAUGCUUUCGUGGCGCAGCUUUUUUUGCCUUUAUAUUUCUGGUCCAUAUGGAAUUUAUUUUGGAGUGAGGAGACCAGUGUCAUGUUUUUUUCCCCAGACAGCCAACUCCUUGUCCCAGUAUCCUUUAUUAAAUAAUGCCAUUUUCCUCAUGGAUUUAAAUGCCAAAGAAUUCUAUGUUAAAGAGUCACACAGACCUCCGAUCUGUGUGUCCAGUCUACCGCCCAUAACAAAAUAUUCCAAUCGGUUCUAUGACAGUCCACCCUCGGGCAGGACUACAGCCUUCUUUCUCAGAAUUUUACAGGCUUGUCUUUUUUUUUUUUUAAUUGUGAUAAAAUAUACCUAAAAUUUACCAUUUUAACCAUUUUUACGUGCACUGUUCAGUGGCAUUAAGUACGUUUACAUCAUUGUAUAGCCGUAACCGCCGUCCGUUUCCUGAACUUUCCCAUCUUCCCACACUGACUCUGUCCCCAUUAGACACUCACUCCCCGGCCCCCGGCCCCCACCAUUGCGCUUUCUGUCUAUGAAUUUGACUGCCCUAGGGACCUCGCAUGAGUGGAAUCAUAAAGAAUUUGUCCCUUUGUGACUGGCUUAUUCUACUUAGCAUAAUGUCUUCAAGGUUGAUCCAUGUUGUAGUGUGUGAUAGAAUUUCCUUCCUUUUUAAGGCUGCAUAAUAGUCUAUCGCAUGGAUUGUUUGCUUGUCCAUUCAUCUAACAAUGGACAUCUGGGUUGUUGCCAGCUUUCGGCUACUGUGAAUAACGCUGCUAUGAACACAGGUGUACAAUAUCUAUGGACGUCCUUGCUGUCAAUUAUUUUGGGCAUAUACUCAGAAGUGGGAUUGCUGGACCAUAUGGUAAUUCUAUUUUUGAGGAACCACUAUCCUGUUUUCCAUAGUAGCUACACCGUUUACACGCCCAACACGGGGUUCCAAUUUCUCCACACCUUGCCAACACUUACUAUUUUCUUUUUUUGGAUUUUUUUUGAUAGUAGCCAUCCCAGUGGGUGUGAGGUGUUACCUCACCGAGGGUGUGAUUUGCACUUCCCCGUGACAAACGAUGCUGAGCAUCUUUCCAUGUGCUGUUUGUUGGUCACUGGUGCAUUUUCUUUGGAGACAUGUCCGUUCAAGUCUUUUUGGGUUCUUUAUUCUUGAACCUUAUUUUCCUCAUGGACUUCAGAAUUGGUUCCUACGGUUAUAGAAAAACAUCCUGCAGCUACUUUUACUGGGUUGCAUUCAAUGUAUGGAUCAAUUUGGGGGGACUGUGGCCACACCCCUCCUUGGUUUUCCUUUCCCAGUCUCCUCUGCCCCCUCCCUGUGGUUCUAAGCAUCACCACACACGACCAUGCCAACAGCUGUUCCCCAGCUCUGUCCUGAACUCCCCAAUGCUACCCUACAGCUCACCGGAGUGUCCUCAGGUCUCUCCAUGACACUGGAUCAAAUUUAACUGCUGACCCUACACACCCGCCCUCCUGGCCUGCUCACCUGUUUCCCAGUGGCAGCAGUGGCUCAGGUAACCACUGGGCACCAUCCUUGUCUCCCCGCUCCCUCACCUUGGAGGAAGUCAGGGUCCUGGCAGGAGAAAGAGGCAAAGAGAGAAAAGGACUUUUAUGAAGGGCCAUUUACCAACGUGGCAACAAUGGGUGGGUCGAACCAGAGGGUGGUAAGGGCCCUGGGUAGGGGCUGGUCCUAGAGCCCUGAGAGGGUAGGAAAGUUCACAGGGAGAGGACAGGUCUUCACCCAGCAGGAAGGGAGCUGGGGAAAUUCCCCAACCUCUGGGCAGGAGGCCAGACUCACCAGGAAGCCAGCGGUGGGUGGGGGAUGGGGCUGUCUGUCCGGGAGCACUGGGAGGGUGGAGAGGGAGGAGGGCAGGUCUGGGCAGCAAACUGGGAAUACCCAG